GAUGAACGCUGGCGGCGUGCCUAAUACAUGCAAGUCGAGCGAACAGACGAGGAGCUUGCUCCUCUGACGUUAGCGGCGGACGGGUGAGUAACACGUGGAUAACCUACCUAUAAGACUGGGAUAACUUCGGGAAACCGGAGCUAAUACCGGAUAAUAUAUUGAACCGCAUGGUUCAAUAGUGAAAGACGGUUUUGCUGUCACUUAUAGAUGGAUCCGCGCCGCAUUAGCUAGUUGGUAAGGUAACGGCUUACCAAGGCGACGAUGCGUAGCCGACCUGAGAGGGUGAUCGGCCACACUGGAACUGAGACACGGUCCAGACUCCUACGGUAGGCAGCAGUAGGGAAUCUUCCGCAAUGGGCGAAAGCCUGACGGAGCAACGCCGCGGGAGUGAUGAAGGUCUUCGGAUCGUAAAACUCUGUUAUUAGGGAAGAACAAAUGUGUAAGUAACUAUGCACGUCUUGACGGUACCGAAUCAGAAAGCCACGGCUAACUACGUG
rnacentral:rRNA from 1 species